GUGUCAGCAGCCGCGGUAAAACGUAGGAGGCGAGCGUUAUCCGGAUUUACUGGGCGUAAAGCGCGUGCAGGCGGUACGGAAAGUUGGAUGUGAAAGCUCCCGGCUCAACUGGGAGAGGUCGUUCAAAACUACCGAACUAGAGUACAGUAGAGGGAAGUGGAAUUCCGGGUGUAGUGGUGAAAUGCGUAGAUAUCCGGAGGAACACCAGUGGCGAAAGCGGCUUCCUGGACUGAAACUGACGCUCAGACGCGAAAGCUAGGGUAGCAAACGGGAUUAGAAACCCCGGUAGUCC
rnacentral:rRNA from 1 species